UACGUAGGUGGCAAGCGUUGUCCGGAUUUAUUGGGUUUAAAGGGUGCGUAGGCGGUUUUAUAAGUCAGUGCUGAAAUAUCCCGGCUUAACCGGGAGGGUGGCAUUGAUACUGUAAGACUUGAGUCGAGUUGAGGUUGGCGGAAUUGUCGGUGUAGCGGUGAAAUGCGCAGAUAUCGGGAAGAACACCCGUGGCGAAGGCGGUUCUCUGGGACGGUACUGACGCUGAGACGCGAAAGCGUGGGGAGCGAACAGG
rnacentral:rRNA from 1 species